rnacentral:lncRNA from 1 species
CGACAACAUUUCAAAGAUUAGCCUUCCUUCCCCCCCCCCCCAAAUAAAUAAAAAUGUUAUUUCAGUGUCCAAACAGGAAGCUCAUGAAAAGGUUCAUGGACAUUUUCCCUAGGUUUUUUUUUUUUUAAGUUAAUUAUAUUUGGAGGUAUUUUACAAUGCUCAUGACGUGUUUGAAUAAGACAUUUUCUUUGUAUUGUAUUUCCUAAUAGAAGUGUCUACAAAACUUAUUUUCUUAUGUGUUUAACUGAUGUCAGCCAACCUUUCCUGAUCUACUUCCUGGGUGUUUACUUUGGUUCUCCUAAGAAGGAAAUCCAUUAAGACAAAGGCAGGUUUGCCACUGUCUUGUGUUAGUCGGACACUAACAAUAGUUCUCAUCCCUUUCUGAGGUCUUUUAGAGACUGAACUCCGUAUCUUAAUGUCUUGAGCGUGGUUCUUAAUCGGUUUUGGGCACCGUAGCUUGGAGGCUGGGCCCUCCCUGCCUCUCAGGCAAAGGAGGUCUGACCUGGUUCUCAUAGUCCUCAACUAAUCCAGGUGUCACUGAAUGUGGGUAACAACUUGACACCCCCCCCACUGGCCCCGGAACCACUGGCCCACUUGCAGUUUUCAAGUCGUGAACCAGUAGUAACCAAGGUGAUCGUGUCAAGCGCUCGGAACUUGCGUGUGGUCAAAAGGUUCUGAGAGCCAUUGUGAGUCACUGUGACACCUCUGGGCUUAGCCAGUCAGGCCCUGGGGCUCAGGGCAGGAAGGAUAAGACAAGGAGGAGAAGAAUCCUCUCUCUCACUCCUUGACCUCUCUUCCAGACGUUCCUGAAGCGAGCUCGGUGGUCUGAGAGGGAACAAGAACAGAUAAAGCGAUCUCUGAGGACUACCCUGGAAACAGGAGUGGUGCUCCUUCGUGAAGCCGUCUGUGGCGUCAGCGAGUCAUGGAGAAAGAAAAAGCCUGAAGUGAAACCCAGCACACCCGCACCCAGC